ACAGUACAAACUGAGCAGGCGAUGAACCUUUUUCUGAGGUCAUGGGGCUGGGCCGUUUCGCACGGCAGCAGAAUGAGCACACGCACAUCUGCGGGACAGU
rnacentral:ncRNA from 1 species